GUUCUGUUCUUUGUCUGCUUCUGUUUCAAGCCUGUCAUCAGUUCAAAGUAGAAUUUUUUUGACGCAGAGCAACAAGUGCUGGAUGUUGAGAUGGGGUUUAUCCUGGUCUGGUCCCUGACCUGUUUCUUGUUGAAUAUACACCUCUGCAAACAGGCCACAGACAGACCACAGGCCCACCUGACCAUGGACACAACAUCCAUUCACCAGGGGCAUGUGACCCUGACCUGCUCUGUGAAUUCAUCAUCAUCUGAAUAGAAAUACUACUGGUACAGAGGCAACAGAGUCUAUUUUCACCAGACCACAGAUUCACAAACAACUGUCCAACCUGGAGGAACCUAUCAGUGCAGAGGAGGCAGAGGAGAUCCAGUUCACUACAGUGAAUACAGCAACU